rnacentral:rRNA from 1 species
UACGUAGGGACCAAGCGUUGUUCGGAUUUACUGGGCGUAAAGGGCGCGUAGGCGGCGUGUUAAGUCACUUGUGAAAUCUCUAAGCUUAACUUAGAACGGUCAAGUGAUACUGAUGUGCUAGAGUGCAGAAGGGGCAACCGGAAUUCUCGGUGUAGCGGUGAAAUGCGUAGAUAUCGAGAGGAACACCUGCGGCGAAGGCGGGUAGCUGGGCCGACACUGACGCUGAGGCGCGAAAGCCAGGGGAGCGAACGGG